GUAAAACGCAUAAUGAAUCUUUCUUGUUCAAAUUGAAAAGAUAACUUUCAUAACUCAUUAUAUUUAAAUUUGGAAUUUCUAAUAAUCUGCCAAAAACGUAAUAUGUUUGCCAAAUUAUGUUAUGAUUGUCAAAUUAAUUAUCACCAGUCGCCACAAUAAAGCACAAUUCAUCAUGCGGCAAACGCCACGAUACGGCAUACUAUAGCAUUGAGUCAUAUUUGUAAAUAUCCAUCAAACCAUUUUUAUUUUAAAGGAAUCGGUAUACACUAAAUAACAUACAAAUAUAUACCUUUAAGCAUCUUUUACAAAAUUCAAC
rnacentral:lncRNA from 1 species